AACGAACGCUGGCGGCAUGCCUAACACAUGCAAGUCGAACGAGACCUUCGGGUCUAGUGGCGCACGGGUGCGUAACGCGUGGGAACCUGCCCUUAGGUUCGGAAUAACUCCCCGAAAGGGGUGCUAAUACCGGAUAAUGUCUUCGGACCAAAGAUUUAUCGCCUUUGGAUGGGCCCGCGUUGGAUUAGCUAGUUGGUAGGGUAAAAGCCUACCAAGGCGACGAUCCAUAGCUGGUCUGAGAGGAUGAUCAGCCACACUGGGACUGAGACACGGCCCAGACUCCUACGGGAGGCAGCAGUGGGGAAUAUUGGACAGUGGGCGAAAGCCUGAUCCAGCAAUGCCGCGUGAGUGAUGAAGGCCUUAGGGUUGUAAAGCUCUUUUACCCGUGAUGAUAAUGACAGUACCGGGAGAAUAAGCUCCGGCUAACUCCGUG
rnacentral:rRNA from 1 species